GAAUCUGCAUUACAAAUGUAAUGAUUUCCUUCUUAAUUUUGGAAGAUUUGACUCUGGAUCCUUUAAUUGGUUAAUUGGAAGUUAAAUGCACUUUGCUAAAAGGUGAAAGGAUACGAUACGUUUCAAAUGGAAAUAUUGCGCCAGCAGAUUUGCAUGUUCAGAAUUCUGAAUAAGGAAUAGUAGCACAAAGUAAACACGAGGCGAAGAAAUAAGCAAUGUACAUCAAUGGGAAAGAAUUCACGAUGAGUUUUACUUUUUCAAUGGCUUUAAGCUUAUUUCGUUUUUAUUAAAUCAUGCAAAAGCUAA